GACGAACGCUGGCGGCGUGCCUAAUACAUGCAAGUCGAGCGGACCACUUCGGUGGUCAGCGGCGGACGGGUGAGUAACACGUGGGCAACCUGCCUGUAAGACUGGGAUAACACCGGGAAACCGGUGCUAAUACCGGAUAAUCCUUUCCUUCACAUGAAGGAAAGCUGAAAGACGGUUUCGGCUGUCACUUACAGAUGGGCCCGCGGCGCAUUAGCUAGUUGGUUAGGUAACGGCUCACCAAGGCAACGAUGCGUAGCCGACCUGAGAGGGUGAUCGGCCACACUGGGACUGAGACACGGCCCAGACUCCUACGGGAGGCAGCAGUAGGGAAUCUUCCGCAAUGGACGAAAGUCUGACGGAGCAACGCCGCGUGAGCGAUGAAGGCCUUCGGGUCGUAAAGCUCUGUUGUCAGGGAAGAACAAGUACCGGAGUAACUGCCGGUACCUUGACGGUACCUGACCAGAAAGCCACGGCUAACUACGUGCCAGCAGCCGCCGUAAAAC
rnacentral:rRNA from 1 species